GAUGAACGCUGGCGGCGUGCCUAAUACAUGCAAGUCGAGCGAACAGACGAUGAUCUUGCUCCUCUGACGUUAGCGACGGGCGGGUGAGUAACACGUGGAUAACCUACCUAUAAGACUGGGAUAACUUCGGGAAACCGGAGCUAAUACCAGGUACUAUAUUGAACCGCAUGGUUCAAUAGUGAAAGACGGUUUUGCUGUCACUUAUAGAUGUAUCCGCGCCGCAUUAGCUAGUUGGUAAGGUAACGGCUUACCAAGGCAACGAUGCGUAGCCGACCUGAGAGGGUGAUGGGCCACACUGGAAGUGAGACACGGUACAGACUCCUACGGGAGGCAGCAGUAGGGAAUCUUCGGCGAUGGGCGAAAGCCUGAAGGAGCAACGCCGCGCGAGUGAUGAAGGUCUUCGGAUCGUAAAACUCUGUUAUUAGGGAAGAACAAAUGUGUAAGUAACUAUGCACGUCUUGACGGUACCUAAUCAGAAAGCCACGGCUAACUACGUG
rnacentral:rRNA from 1 species